rnacentral:lncRNA from 10 species
GAUCACGAUGGUCCUCUGGUGUCCCAUCUUUCUCUCUCAAACUGUCCUUUCCUCAAUCCUUUGACUCCGCCGGACUUUGUCACCCCCACAACCUGGUUUUGGGUCUGGCCACCCCAACAUUAAACCUUCCAGUGGGACAAGAUGUGGAGGUGGAAGACAAUGAUAUUCACGAUCCUGGCCCUGGGUAUAAAGAAGGAAAAUAUACAAGUGUUCAUGUGAUGAGAGGUACUGAAUCACUGAAAAUAAACUGGCCUAGAAGCAAUACCAGGAUCGAGAGAGAUGGAGUCUUAUUCUGUCACCCAGGCUGGAGUGCAAUGGCAUGAUCUCGGCUCACUGCAACUUCCGCCUCCCAGGUUCAAGAGAUUCUCCUGCCUUAGCUUCCCAAGUAGCUGAGAUUACAGGCACCCACCACCAUGCCCAGCCAAUUUUUGUAUUUUUAGUAGAGAUGGGGUUUCACCAUGUUGUCCAGGCUGGUCUCGAAUUCCUGACCUUGUGAUCUGCCCACCUUUGCCUCCCAAAGUGCUGGGAUUAGAGGCGUGAGCCACCAUGCCCGGCCUAAAUGCUGUGUUUUUAAGUUUAUGCACAUGUGGUCACAUUUUAUGUGAGAAUAGUGGUUACUUGUAGGGUGUUAGGGGAAACA